rnacentral:hammerhead_ribozyme from 1 species
ACCCAGCCGACGAGUCCCAAAUAGGAUGAAACGCGUGUCCUGGAU